rnacentral:rRNA from 1 species
AUUGAACGCUGGCGGCAGGCCUAACACAUGCAAGUCGAGCGGAUGAAGGGAGCUUGCUCCUGGAUUCAGCGGCGGACGGGUGAGUAAUGCCUAGGAAUCUGCCUGGUAGUGGGGGAUAACGUCCGGAAACGGGCGCUAAUACCGCAUACGUCCUGAGGGAGAAAGUGGGGGAUCUUCGGACCUCACGCUAUCAGAUGAGCCUAGGUCGGAUUAGCUAGUUGGUGGGGUAAAGGCCUACCAAGGCGACGAUCCGUAACUGGUCUGAGAGGAUGAUCAGUCACACUGGAACUGAGACACGGUCCAGACUCCUACGGGAGGCAGCAGUGGGGAAUAUUGGACAAUGGGCGAAAGCCUGAUCCAGCCAUGCCGCGUGUGUGAAGAAGGUCUUCGGAUUGUAAAACACUUUAAGUUGGGAGGAAGGGCAGUAAGUUAAUACCUUGAUGUUUUGACGUUACCAACAGAAUAAGCACCGGCUAACUUCGUG